CACAUAAUCAUAUUCAUAUGUAUGCCAUACCAAAAUAUAACAAAGUAAACAAUCCUGGUAAAAAUAAUUUCAUAGAAAUGUGAUACGUUAGCUGUAACUCAUGUGGUAGUUUGUACGGCUGAAUUCAUAGCUCAAACUCAAUCUAACCGGAGUCACUACUAUGACCUAUACGACAAUAUACUGCACAUAAGUCGGAACCACUGAAAAGGGUCUGUACGACAAGAUUGGGUGAAAUAUAAUUAUGCUCAAUUCUAUUCUCUCAUAAUAGCCGGGCGAUAAAUCGCUAAUCACCUACGAGUCGGAACCAUAAAUAAAGUCAGUACGACAAGACUGUGCACUUAAAUUGGAUCCAAUAUGAGCAUAUAGUGUGGGAGGUGACGUAAAUAAACAAGCAUGUACUUCUCAUCUCUGGCUAAAUCACAAUCAUCCUAGGUGCAACUUUAAGAGCUCAACAUUACUUAAUCACACAUCGCAUAUCACAUCAUCGAUGAUUCACAUAACCAAACAUAACUUACUUGAACUCACCUGUGCCUCCACAACACCACAUUUAUAUAUAUAUGCAACCAUGCAAUGCAUAUUCAAAUUAUAGAAGCAUUUGGCAUAUUAUUUCAAAGCAUACUUUCCUUAAAAAAUGCAUUUCUGGGAAAUAUAUCAAGUAUAUAAAUAUAUACUGAAAACAAAAACCCACUCACUGAUAUGUCGAAGGGUCGUAGCUCCCGAGUCGCCCGUGGAUACGCUCAUCCUCGGGAUAAGCUUCACCUAUAUGCGAAUCAACUAUAAAAACGUUAUUUUUAAAGCAUAUAGGAAAUACUAGCUAAUAA
rnacentral:lncRNA from 1 species